rnacentral:rRNA from 1 species
AGCGAACGCUGGCGGCAGGCUUAACACAUGCAAGUCGAGCGGGCACUUCGGUGUCAGCGGCAGACGGGUGAGUAACACGUGGGAACGUGCCCUUCGGUUCGGAAUAACUCAGGGAAACUUGAGCUAAUACCGGAUACGCCCUUUUGGGGAAAGGUUUACUGCCGAAGGAUCGGCCCGCGUCUGAUUAGCUAGUUGGUGGGGUAAUGGCCUACCAAGGCGACGAUCAGUAGCUGGUCUGAGAGGAUGAUCAGCCACACUGGGACUGAGACACGGCCCAGACUCCUACGGGAGGCAGCAGUGGGGAAUAUUGGACAAUGGGCGCAAGCCUGAUCCAGCCAUGCCGCGUGAGUGAUGAAGGCCUUAGGGUUGUAAAGCUCUUUCGACGGGACGAUAAUGACGGUACCCGUAGAAGAAGCCCCGGCUAACUUCGUGCCAGCAGCCGCCGUAAG